rnacentral:rRNA from 1 species
UUUAAAGUUUGGCCUGCUCCAUGACUAAGUUAAAUAGCCGCAGUAUUUUGACUGUGCAAAGGUAGCAUAAUCAUUAGUUUUUUAAUUGAAAGCUGGAAUGAAGGGUCGGAUGAGAAAGAAUCUGUCUCAUUCUAAUUUAUUUGAAUUUUAUUUUUAAGUUAAAAAGCUUAAAUUUUAUAGAAAGACGAGAAGACCCUAUAGAGUUUAAUAAGUUAAGAUUUGAUUAUCUGAGGAUUUUAAUGUAAUUAUUUUUUGACUUGUUUUGUUGGGGUGACAUUAGAAUUGAAUAAACUUCUUAAUAUUUAAACAUUGAUUUAUGAGUUAAUGAUCCUGAUUUUUGGAUUUAAAGAUUAAAUUACCUUAGGGAUAACAGCGUAAUCUUUUUGGAGAGUUCUAAUCGAUAAAAGGGAUUGCGACCUCGAUGUUGGAUUAAAGUUAAGUUUCGGUGUAGGAGCUGAAAUUUUGAGUCUGUUCGACUUUUAAAACUUUACA